AUGCCAAGAGAAAGGAUGGUCCCAGAGCUGGAGCUUCAGGGAGAUGUGGAGUACAAAAAGGAAGAUCCAAAACAAGCAAAUCAUCACCAACCUCCAAGGAGUCAAGGAGACGUGCUGGUGGAUAGCUGGUGUCUCUCCUCCGUGUCCUCGCAAGGGAUCCUGGACUGGGCACUUGGAACACACAUCUUGAUGCCUGCUGAUGGCCUGGCUGCUUGGACACGGAGUUUUGGAAACUCAAGGGAGGAGGACACAUGGAAGACUGAUGCUCAGGUGCGGAGCGAGCAGGAGUCAGGAUCUCCCUGUGCAUUGCCACUGAUGGUGUUUACAGAUCUGUGUUCUGCAGUUGAAUCCAGCUUGAGAGGCCAUCACCACAUGAAACAGGUAAAGGGCAGUGGCUGCAUAUUUAAAGGAAACAUAACAAAACAAGAAAAAAGUCUGUUUUUCACAGCUUGCAGGUUGCUGUUAAGUAGUUACUCCUGUCCAUGGCAGUUGCUGGAGCUCAGAGACCACCACAGACAUGCAGUUGCCAGGGUCUGAAGGGUGAAAUUCCUGUGUCUCAGUCUCCAAAUUCUUCAAAUAGUCCCUCCAAUUUUUAUGUUUUCAUAAAGGCAUGGCCUGCUGCCGGGUGACCUGGAAGAGGCAUCACAGUGCUUUGUCAGCACACUCGCCUCACUGCAGAAGCUAAG
rnacentral:lncRNA from 1 species